AUUGAACGCUGGCGGCAGGCCUAACACAUGCGAGUCGAGCGGAUGAAGGGAGCUUGCUCCUGGAUUCAGCGGCGGACGGGUGAGUAAUGCCUAGGAAUCUGCCUGGUAGUGGGGGAUAACGUCCGGAAACGGGCGCUAAUACCGCAUACGUCCUGAGGGAGAAAGUGGGGGAUCUUCGGACCUCGCGCUAUCAGAUGAGCCUAGGUCGGAUUAGCUAGUUGGUGGGGUAAAGGCCUACCAAGGCGACGAUCCGUAACUGGUCUGAGAGGAUGAUCAGUCACACUGGAACUGAGACACGGUCCAGACUCCUACGGGAGGCAGCAGUGGGGAAUAUUGGACAAUGGGCGAAAGCCUGAUCCAGCCAUGCCGCGUGUGUGAAGAAGGUCUUCGGAUUGUAAAGCACUUUAAGUUGGGAGGAAGGGCAGUAAGUUAAUACCUUGCUGUUUUGACGUUACCAACAGAAUAAGCACCGGCUAACUUCGUG
rnacentral:rRNA from 1 species